rnacentral:rRNA from 1 species
GCUCUCGGGUGACGAGUGGCGGACGGGUGAGUAAUGUCUGGGAAACUGCCUGAUGGAGGGGGAUAACUACUGGAAACGGUAGCUAAUACCGCAUAACGUCGCAAGACCAAAGAGGGGGACCUUCGGGCCUCUUGCCAUCAGAUGUGCCCAGAUGGGAUUAGCUAGUAGGUGGGGUAACGGCUCACCUAGGCGACGAUCCCUAGCUGGUCUGAGAGGAUGACCAGCCACACUGGAACUGAGACACGGUCCAGACUCCUACGGGAGGCAGCAGUGGGGAAUAUUGCACAAUGGGCGAAAGCCUGAUGCAGCCAUGCCGCGUGUAUGAAGAAGGCCUUCGGGUUGUAAAGUACUUUCAGCGGGGAGGAAGGUGUUGUGGUUAAUAACCGCAGCAAUUGACGUUACCCGCAGAAGAAGCACCGGCUAACUCCGUGCCAGCAGCCGCGGUAAUACGGAGGGUGCAAGCGUUAAUCGGAAUUACUGGGCGUAAAGCGCACGCAGGCGGUCUGUCAAGUCGGAUGUGAAAUCCCCGGGCUCAACCUGGGAACUGCAUUCGAAACUGGCAGGCUAGAGUCUUGUAGAGGGGGGUAGAAUUCCAGGUGUAGCGGUGAAAUGCGUAGAGAUCUGGAGGAAUACCGGUGGCGAAGGCGGCCCCCUGGACAAAGACUGACGCUCAGGUGCGAAAGC